CAUUCCUAUGAGGAUUAAUUUGCAAACUGAAAGUAGUGGACUGAUCUCUGGUAAUUGAUGAAUAACAGAUCCUGAGGGAUG